UCCGAUUUGUCACCGGCAGUCCCCGAAGGGAAAGCCCCAUCUCUGGGGCGGUCCGCCGUUGUCUAGCCCAGGUAAGGUUCUUCGCGUUGCGUCGAAUUGAACCACAUGCUCCACCGCUUGUGCGGGCCCCCGUCAAUUCCUUUGAGUUUCAGUCUUGCGACCGUACUCCCCAGGCGGCGAACUUAACGCGUUAGCUUCGACACUGAGCGCCAAGUUGCACCCAACGUCCAGUUCGCAUCGUUUAGGGCGUGGACUAC
rnacentral:misc_RNA from 1 species